GACUCAGUGGUCUAAUGGUAAAGCGCACGUCACGAAGCCAGAGGGUCCUGGGUUCGAUCCUCAACGGGGUCU
rnacentral:tRNA from 1 species